CAGCAAAAGUUUUGCGGCUUCGUACCGUUAUAUGAGUUAUUACAAAAUCGCAACCGCAAUAAGAACAACAAACUGAAGAAGCGGCACAAGAAGGCAACAACGACGAGGCUUAGCUGCAUUGCUGCAUUGUACAAAGUGCGGCACGUACAAGACGAUAAAAUGUCAACGAUAUUUGUACAAUUUACAAUGUACAUCCUCCUAUAGACUGUUCAUCUAACGGGGCUCAUAAGCUCGCCUAUAUGGCCAAUAUGGGUGCCAACCGACGACGACGUGUUGGCAUGUUCUGCAAAUCAAAGCGAAUCGAAAAUCUUUUGCAAACAAUUCUCUUCAUUCUUAUUGAUAUGCAAAAUGCAAGGCGACGAGUUAACAGUUCCAGAGCUGGUUGCCCUUUGUGAGGCGCCGCUCAGUCGCAAUAAAUCCUAUGGCAAAGGAAGGAAAUACGGUUCGAGCUAGAAUCUUAUUGUCGAAAACUACCUAUUUAGGUAUUGUUUAAUACAAAUGUGACCGGUAGAAAUAUGUUUUCCUCCAUCUAUCAAGCAGAUCAAUAGUCCAUGUAUGAAGUACACAUAAGCUUAAAAAGAGAGUAAGAGAGAAUUUCUUUU